rnacentral:misc_RNA from 1 species
AUGAAAAAAUGAUUAUUUUCUACAAAUCAUAAAGAUAUUGGAAUUUUAUAUUUUAUUUUUGGUAUAUGAUCUGGAGUAUUAGGUUUAUCUAUAAGAUUAUUAAUUCGAAUAGAAUUAAGAAUCACUGGUAGAUUAAUUGGUAAUGAUCAAAUUUAUAAUAGUAUUGUUACUGCUCAUGCUUUUGUAAUAAUUUUUUUUAUAGUUAUACCCAUUAUAAUUGGUGGAUUUGGUAAUUGAUUAAUUCCUUUAAUAUUAGGAUCUCCUGAUAUAGCUUUUCCACGAAUAAAUAAUAUAAGAUUUUGAUUAUUAAUCCCAUCUUUAAUUUUAUUAUUAAUUAGAGGUUUAAUAAAUUCAGGAGUUGGUACAGGUUGAACUGUUUAUCCUCCUUUAUCGUUGAUAUUAGGUCAUAGAGGUGUAGCGGUAGAUUUUGCUAUUUUUUCAUUACAUUUAGCAGGUGUUUCUUCUAUUAUAGGAGCUAUUAAUUUUAUUAGUACUAUUUUUAAUAUACGAUCUUAUAAUAUUAAAAUAGAUCAAAUUUCAUUAUUAAUUUGAUCAGUUUUAAUUACUGCUAUUUUGUUAUUAUUAUCAUUACCUGUUUUAGCAGGAGCUAUUACUAUAUUAUUGACAGAUCGUAAUUUAAAUACUACUUUUUUUGAUUUUGCUGGUGGUGGAGAUCCUAUUUUAUAUCAACAUUUAUUUUGAUUUUUUGGUCAUCCAGAAGUUUAUAUUUUAAUUUUACCUGGUUUUGGUAUUAUUUCUCAUAUUGUUUAUAAUGAAAGGGGUAAAAAAGAAACUUUCGGUACUUUAGGUAUAAUUUAUGCUAUAAUAACUAUUGGAUUUUUAGGAUUUAUUGUUUGAGCUCAUCAUAUAUUUACUGUUGGUAUGGAUGUUGAUACUCGAGCUUAUUUUACUUCAGCAACUAUAAUUAUUGCUAUUCCUACUGGUAUUAAAGUUUUUAGUUGAUUAGCUACUUUAAGAGGAGUUAAUUUAAAAUAUAAUUUAAGUAUUUUAUGAUCUAUAGGUUUUAUUUUUUUAUUUACUUUAGGAGGAUUAACUGGAAUUUUGUUAUCUAAUUCAUCUGUUGAUAUUAUUUUGCAUGAUACUUAUUAUGUAGUAGCUCAUUUUCAUUAUGUUUUAUCUAUAGGAGCAGUAUUUGCUAUUUUAGCAGGUAUAAUUUUUUGGUUCCCUUUAUUUACAGGUUUAAUUUUAAAUGAUAAAUGAUUAAAAAUUCAUUUUUUUAUAAUUUUUUUAGGUGUAAAUUUAACUUUUUUUCCUCAACAUUAUUUAGGUUUAAGAGGGAUACCUCGUCGUUAUUCUGAUUAUCCUGAUAUAUAUUUAGGUUGAAAUUUAAUUUCUUCAUUAGGUUCUAUUAUAUCUUUAGUAAGUAUAAUUUUUUUUAUUUUUAUUUUAUGAGAAAGAUUAUUAAGUAAACGUUUAGUAAUUUAUAAUAAAUAUAUAAAUACUUCUAUUGAAUGAACUCAAUUAUAUCCUCCAAUAAAUCAUAGAUAUGAUCAAAUUCCUAUUGUUUAUUUAAAAUAA